UUUCUCUUUAACGAGGCAGUUAACCUGCAGUACAGUGAAGUUCAAGACCUCAUCAUGCCCACUGCUGUUCCAUGGUUUGAGAUGUGAGUUGCAAAAACUGCAAUAGCAGACUGGGAUGGAUCUAUGAGUUUGCCCCUGCAGACAGCCAGUGUUACAAGGAAGGCUGUGUGAUCCUGGAAUGUGACCUAGUUUGGGACAGUGAC
rnacentral:lncRNA from 1 species